rnacentral:lncRNA from 1 species
AAUUAGAUCUUCAAAUUUACUCAGCUGAAUUUUGUUUUUUAACACAGUCAAAUGCUGGUGUAUGUUUUUCUUAUAUCUCCUUCGGCAGCCAGCAUUGUGUGCUAAAGUAGAGUAAGCCAGCUAUAAACACUGGUCAAAUAAAAGCACAAAUUAGUGUUUUCCUACUACCCUCUUUUUUCACAUAAUUUCCUUGCCUUCUACUUUACCCUUCAUGACAAGACUCAAUGUCUAUGUAUAAUGUGUCUUGAAGUUUUUAGAAAGAUAGCUGUAAAAAUCUAGUAAAUGAGUAAUAGUGAUAAUACCUGAAGAAUUCUAUCCAUUGAAGAUUCCGUUAAUUUGGACUUAAGCCUGCUAUAGCGCAUUGACAAUCGGUUUCAAAAAGUGAAGUGCAGUGGAAGGAGAACAAGAUUACAAAUCAGGGGGUCUAAUCCUCUUCCCGUGUGCCCCUAACUUGCUCGGUGACCUUGGACAGACGCUUAUCUUCUUUAUGCCUCCAGCCUCCUUCUGUAAAGGGAUGAGCUGUAGCCAAUGUCCUCUUCCUGGUAAUGGACAGAGCCGGGGCCACUGUCCGGAGAGGAGAUAGAAUCCUGUCAGAACAGCUUUUCUUUACCACUUCUGGAUCUGCUCCGGAGUUAGAAGGCUGGCGUCUCCAUCAUUCAAUAUUUCACCCCAGCACCAAACCGACAUGGAUACUUUUGAUAUCAUUCAAGGUGCCUCUAAAGAAGGAUACAGUCUGGGAUCAGUUUAAAUGGAAUCCAUCUGAAAGAACCAGAAGGAAUGAUGGUUUCAGACAUGGAGAAUGUUCUGCUUCUAUUUUAGCAAUAAAUUUGACCUUUGUUUUUCUGGCAGCCGAGGCAUAAGGAGUAACAUGAAUGGACUAUUUAUACUUGCUGGACAAAUAGUAGGCUCAAUAAAUAUUUUUUCAUUGACUCUCAACCACCCCUUAGUUGGGAAGGCAAAAUACUGAUAGAGAAGUCCCAGAAGAAUGGAGCACAGGGUGGGUGGCUAGAAAGGUUUUUGGUGAAGGGAGAAUCCUAAAACAAGCUUCAAACUCCCCUGUCUCAACCCGUUGCCAAGGCUAGGCCAUUCUGAGAAAUUCCCAUGAUACAUGCAGGCCACCAGCAUGGCUCCAGGAGGUGAGGCAUGCCCAGUCGUUCCCUGUAGCAGUUCCAUUCCAGGAUGGAAGGUCCAUCUUGAUCUGUAGGCCAGAUAUUUCUUUGAGGAAAAUGUAGCAUUGUCUCUUUUACCCAAUCACAUACCUUUGGAAGGAAAAAAAGGCAACCCUCUACCUGUAGAUCCUUAAGCCUGAGCCCUAACCAGCUGCAGAGCUGGCUCAGAGAACCCUUCGUUACAUAAAGCUUCUGCCCCUGACUGAGGGAUGAACACAGCACCUCCUCACCGGCAGUUAGCUGCUGCCCCUCAGAUUCCCAAAGCCUGCCCUUGGGAUUCAGGGUCAGGCCCAGGCUCAGCCCCAAUUGCCCUUGUAUUCAGGCUUUUCCUACUACAGCCUCCUCAAAGUUAUUUCUGCUUGCUCCAGUAGGGGAGCUAGGCAGCUGCUCUGAGUUUUGCCGUCUGGGCUUAGAACAGCUUGAAGUUAGCACAAAGGCGAAUGAAGCUUUAAAUCUCCAGCACUUAACAGCUUCUCUGCAGCCUCAGAGGAUCCUCAAACAACGCUGCAACCUAGGGAGAAAAGGAAAUGUGAUAUUCAUUGAGAUUCCUCAUGUCCCAGGUCACCUAAGGAUGGGAGCUGGUCAUCAGAGGAACCAAUCCUGCGAUCAGAGGGCUGGAAUUUUCAGUCCCAUCGCCAGCCCCCCCCCCAACCAACAUCUUCCAGGAGGAGAGAGGGACUGGAGAUCGAGUUCAGUCACCAAUGGCCAAUGAUUUAAUCAAUCGUGCCUAUGUAAUGAAGCCUCCAUAAAAACCCAAAAGAUGGGGUUCACAGAGCUUCUGGGUUGAUGAACAUGUGGAGAUGUGGGGAGAGUGGCGGGCCCAGAGAGAGCAUGGAAGCUCCACGACCUUUCCCACAUGCCUUGCUCUAUACAUCUCUUCCAUUCGGCUGUUCCUGAGUUAUAUCCUUUAUAAUAAACUGGUAAUCUAGUAAGUAAAAUGUUCCUCUGAGUUCUGUGAGCCACUGUAGGAAAUUAAUUGAACCCAAGGAGGGGGUUGUUGGAACCUCUAAUCUAUAGCAGGUCAAUCAGAAGCACAGGUGACAGCCUGGACUUGCAGUUGGUGUCUGAAGCGGGGGCACUCUUAUAGAACCAAGCCCUUAACCUGUGGGAUCUGACACUAUCGCCAGGUAGAUAGUCAGAAUU